UUCUGGACAAGAAGGGGACGCGAAGCCUCUUUGGAAGUCGAAUGGAUAACCCUCUACUAUUUAAAUGUCAAGUGGACUAUAUGAAAUUGAUUUUAUAGAUUAGUUCGUAUUAAUGGUUUUAGAUAUUGUAAUAACUAUUAUUGGAUUAUAUUUCACUUGUCAAAUGUUAUUAUAAAAUAGAAUAAUGUCUUAAAAGGGUAAUAUAUUUUUUUAUUUGUAUAUAUUUGGUUAUUGAGUUUUUUUUUCGUCUGCAUUUAUCCUUUCAACUUGUUAAAUUAUACACAUUCAGUCCUUAUGACCGGCUACUUCAGGUUAGCCGGUAAAAAUGACUUAAUAUGGUAAUAUAUUUCUUACUUUGUAUAUAUUUAGUCUUUAAUAUUUUUGUACAGAUUUAGUCCUUAAUAUUUUUUUGUUGCAAAAUAAAUCAUUUUUGUUUUUAUACUCUUUCAAUACUUAUUAAUGAUUUUUUUUAUGUUUUUCUCACGACAUCUUAUGUGAGACAAUCAUUAAUCAGGUGUUCGGAGCUUUUGAUGCUUAUGUCCAUCGCGAACUCGACUACUUGGUUCAGGCCCGGCCCAAAUACAUGUGUGAGAUGGGUAAAGGCCCAGGGCAGUAUAAAUGGAGGGGCAUCAGAUUAGUCCAAUAAGCAAUAUGUAUAUAUAUGUUUCGGCCCAAGAAAAUUAGCCUAAUACUCUUUUGUCUGGUGCAAGGCGUGCAAUCUGAGCGGGAAAACGGAAAAGAAUUAGCAAUAGCAGCGCAAGUUGUAUCUGCAUGUGUGAUUGCCUGAUUGCCAAUCGACGCUUCGAAAUCCGGAAGCUAUAGAAGAUUGAGAAGCUGUCUUAAUCAAAUUCAAAUUGACUAAAUGAUUUAGGGAUUCCUGUUUCCCUUUUUCUGAUCUGGUGGUUCAUUGAUUCUUGUUUGAGAUUUGUAUGAUUAGAAAACUUGGAGUCCGAAGUUGGACUCUUAGAGACUAAGAGAUUGAAGCCUUCAUUUCAGUUUUCCUGAUUUGAAUGAGUUGCAGACCAGAGUUCGAGGCCUUGUUAUUCGAAAUUAUUUUUGGAUGAAGCAUAUAAAGAUGAAAGUCCAUGAGCAUCUAUUCAAAUAACAAAGUUUACAAGAAGAAUGGAUAUGAUCCGGAAGCAUCAUGACUCAAUAAAGAUUGAAUUAGUAAGCAAAAUAUUGAAAGUCAAUUUUAACAAAGUCUUGAUUAAUGUAAAAUAAUAGUGGUUUUUAUUCAAAAAUCACAAGGCAUCCUUUUAAGUGAUUUUGUAAGUUUUUGGUUUGUAAUUGUA